rnacentral:lncRNA from 1 species
AAUUUCUAUAAUUUAUGAAUACAAGAGGAGCAAAUAAAAUAAUAUUCAUUAACUGCAUUGUAGCUCGUGAAAUUUAUAAAUAGGAAUCAUUUUUAAGUACCUAGAAGUUAUAAUAAAUGAUAAAAAGAUAAUGUAAAUAAUUCCGUUCUAUAAGAAAUGUUCAUACCAUGAAAAAUAAGCAUCAGACACUACACCAAAAAUCACUUUUUGCAACAGGCAGAAAAAGUUGUCAUAGACCUAUCGCAACGUUUGGGCCUCUAUUGUGAGUUUCAAUGUUGCUGUAGAGCAAAAAGUUUCGGCAACGUUCAUUACACGUUGCAAAAAGAGAGCUUUGGCAACGUGCAAAGAACGUUGCCGAAGCCUCUUUUUUGCAACGUUCAUCGCACAUUGCCAAAGCUCUCUUUUUGCAACGUGCAAUGAACGUUGCCGAAACUCUCUUUGCAACAUUCACAAAACGUUGCCAAAACUCUCUUUUUGCAAUGUGCAAUGAACGUUGUCGAAGCCUCUUUUUAGAACGUUCACAGUACGCCAAAGCCCUCUUUUUGCAACAUGAAUUGAAUGUUGCCAAAACCUCUUUUGGCAACGUUUAUAAAACGUUGCCAAAGACCUCUUUUGGCAACGUUCAUAGAAUGUUGCCAAAGCCUUCUUUUUGCAACGUGCAGCGAACGUUGCCAAAGCCAUCUUCGUAAACGCCAUAUGUAAAAUUUCCAUGUUUAUUUUCAUAUGUAAAAUCUUAAAUUUUCUCAAUGUAAUGCAGCAUUUCUUUACAUCAAUUGAAUAGGCAAAGAGUGUGCUGGGGUGGAAACCAGAAUUCGACUUGGUGGAAGGUCUUGCAGAUUCUUACACCCUAGACUUUGGUUGAGGGACAUUUAGGAAAGAAGCUGAUUUCGAGACAGACAAUAUUAUUCUUGGAAAAAGUCUUGUUCUCCAGAGUUAGGUCAUUGGUUUCUCUUCUAUUGAUUUUAUCCUUUCUUUUAUGCUCUUUCGCAAGUUCAAUAUUUAUUUGUAUAUGCAAAUUUUAAGUGUAGGAAUACAAUUUAUUUAUUUAUUUAUUAUUAUUAUUUGUGUGUGUUCCUUUUUUCCUUUGGAAAAGGGAACUUUGUUUCCUUUGUUUUUCUUGCAUUUUUUCAUUUUUUGAUCUAGGGAUUGUUUGUGCAUUCUUGAGAUUUCUGCAUCUUCGUAAAUAUAGCAACUGAAAUUGACAUCUUCGUAAAAGCCAUACAACCAGGAUACAAAAGGGUUUUCGCAUCGCUAACUAAACGUUGAAUGUCUUCCUCUAUUCCAUCAUGAGGAUUUUCAGAAUCUACAUCAUGUUGCGUAUAAAAGUCCCUAAACAUCCUACAUGACUCAGGCAUUUCUACGUCGACCAAAUUUGAUUGACUUGGCAUUUCUCCAUGAAAUACCCAAUCAGUGUAUAUAGAAUCCAUGCCUUUAAUAAUUAAAGGCUCAUACACUAUUUCAAAAUUGUGAUGCUUUAGAUUCCUACACUUGACAUAAGGGCAUCCUAUCAUUUCUGACUUUAGAGUUUCACAAGCUAGUUCUAUAAACUUCCGUGCUCCAUCUUUGUAUUGUUCUGAAAAUCUACGACAACAAUACUGUUAAGAAUUUUAUAUUAUUGUUUAAAUUCUGAAACUAGAUUUGUAAGAUUUUAUUUCGGACAGUGACCUUUAUAAUUGCAGCCAUUCUUUGUCCAUUAUGAUACUAUCAAACAUUGAACAACAACAAUUCAAAUUGUAAACUAAACUUGGUAAUUUGCAACACAAGCAAAUGUGUGAGAGCAUAAUAUUUAUAUUGAAAGGAAAGUAGAUUAGAGUAAGUCUCCUAAAUGUCAUACCUGAUACUCUGCUUCCACGAGAACGCAGUCUAAUGAAUAAGAUUGUUGGAAACAAGCUGUAAUUUUACUCUACAAAGCAGGAAGUCAAGCCACUGUCCAUUUCUUACGAAAUAUAUUUGCAGAUGUGAAAUAUAUUUGCAUCAACUCAUUUUAGCACAUUAGGCAAGUCAGAGUUAAAAAAAAACGAGACAUAUAUGGAUAAAAAAUGAAUAGUGAAUAUAAGUCCCGCGAAAUAUGUAAAUAAAAAGUAAUAUUUAAAAAGAAGUGAUUAUAAAAGUUUAAACUCGGUUCAAAAGCUUAGACGAAAAAAGAAUUUUCGAGCUAAAGAAGUUAGCACUAUGAAAUGAAGGAUUUAAACUUGAAAAAAUUGAUAUUUGCUUCAUCUUUUGUAUCUUGCAGUUCGUGUUGAUUUUG